rfam:Oryctolagus cuniculus chromosome 1, whole genome shotgun sequence.
GGUGUUGUAGCACAGCAGGUUAAUGCCCUGGCCUAAAGCGCCAGCAUCCCAUAUGGACACGGGUUCGAGACCUGGCUGCUCCA